ACCCGCACAAGCGGUGGAGCGCGUGGUUUAAUUCGAUGGUAAUCGAAGAACCUUACCAAGGUUUGACAUAUAGCUGCUAGUCCUGUGAAAGCAGGAAAUCCUUCGAGGGUGCUAUACAGGUGCUGCAUGGCCGCCGUCAGCUCGUGUCGUGAGAUGUAGGGUUAAGUCCCGAAACGAGCGCAACCCUUAUCCCGUGUUAUAAGUAUCUCGGGAAACUGCCUCGGUAAAACGAGGAGGAAGGUGGGGAUGACGUCUGGUCCGCAUGGCCUUUAUGCCUUGGGCGACACACGCGCUACAAUGGUCGGUACAAAGAGCUGCCAAACUGUAAAGUGGAGCAAAUCUCAUCAAAACCGAUCUCAGUUCGGAUUGAGGUCUGAAACUCGACCUCAUGAAGUUGGAAUAGCUAGUAAUCGUGGAUCAGCCAUGCCACGGUGAAUACGUUCUCGGGUCUUGCACACACCGCCCGUCAUGUCAUGAAAGCUGGGGGUACCUGAAG
rnacentral:rRNA from 1 species